UAGGUCAAGAUAGUAAGGGCAUACGGUGGAUGCCUUGGCAUCAGGCGGCGAAGAAGGGCGUGGCAGGCUACGAAAAUCCACGGGGAGCUGCGAGCAAGCCUCGAUCCGUGGGUACCCGAAUGGGGCAACCCGGUUCCGGUAAUACGGGAUCAUCCCGGGCUGAACACAUAGGCCCGAGGAGGCGAACCCGGGGAAGUGAAACAUCUCAGUACCCGGAGGAGAAGAAAUCAACAGAGAUUCCCCAAGUAGCGGCGAGC
rnacentral:rRNA from 1 species